ensembl:lncRNA
GCCACCAAAAUGUACCCACUCUCCUCUCUUCUGCUUCACUCUUGCCACUGCUCUUUGGACUAAAGUCUAACUUAUGGGCUGUGUCUGGCUUGGAAUAUAGUUGUUAAAUUAACGAGUGACUAACUAAGAGGCUGUGACUGGCUAGUGGGAGCAUAAAUACAGGCUUGUUUUCCAUUUGUGGUGUCUUGGCCGAAUGAGGCUGUUGGUCCUGUUUUUCCAAUAUCAUUAAUGUGGUCUGGUGCUCUCUUUGCUUGUAGAAAUGCACAGUUUAGUGGCUCUUCCACAGCUGUUCUUGUUCCUGACAUGCUGGCUGUGAGAUGUUCUCCACACUUCUGUGUGAGGGUCCUGUGUACUGGAACAGGAGUGAAUUAUGUACAGAUGGCUUGAGUUAAAUGCUUUAAAGAUAUACAGAAAGCUGUACUGGAACCAAAUCCUUCAUCACAAUUGUUACAGCUUAAUCUAGAUGUGCCCCCAAAAGCCUCAUGUGCUCAUAGGUGAGGAGUUUAGAAGGUGGGCAGAUUAAGGUGUGUGGAUGUGUGGAUGUGGAUUAAGGGGGUGGUGCUUGGAUCAAGGGUGUGGAUAAUGGAAGCCCCAACCUGGAUGUGGGUGGGACCAAUUAAUAGGCUUGUAGCCUGGAUGGAAUAUAAAGGGAGAGAGGGAAGACAGGUUGCUGCUGCUGCUUGCUGCCUUCUGCCUGUUCAGCCACACCAUGAACUGUUUCUUCUCUGCGAUGCCCCUCUGCCAUGCUGCCCCACUUUGGAACCAGCUGACUCUAGACUGAAACCUCUACCGACUGUGAUCCAAAUAAACCUUUCCUUCUUUAAUUUUGGGUGUUGGAUAUUUUGUCUCAGCAAUGAGAAAAGUAACUAAGACAAUAAUCAUCUUCAUCUUCCUCAUCAUCUUCCUCCUUUGCCUCAGUCUUUCAGUCUUGUCAGUUCCCUUUAUUGGCUCAGUAGGUAGCAAUAUCAUUUUUGUAUUUUUCCUUCAGCUUUGCAGCUUCUGUUCAUAAAGCUGCUCAUCCUCUGCAGCAGUGUCUUCCCAUCUCCCCCAGUUUCUUUCCAUCACCACCGGUGGAUGAGCCAGGAUAUUCUUUGAUUUGGGGGUGAUACUCAGAACAGAAAGAAGGCCAAAGAAGGCCUCUUGGGUGCUUUGGGAUCCUUGAACAUUUUUGUUAUUUCACUGUUAGGGAUGAUAUAAGUUUCCAUUUCUCUUUUACAAAAAGCUUUGUCCAUCCUUUCUAUGUCUUUAAAUUUCCUUUUCUUUUCAGAAGGGAGGCUCUCCCACUUCUUUCGGUACUUCUUAGAAGACUCUGAGAAAUUGGCUAAGUUCCUGCACGCUCCCUGGCACAGAGAUGCACAUGAGGACAUUUUGCUCCCAGCUUCCUAGGCUGUCCUGUGACCAUGUUUAGUUAUUUUUCCUCCACGAGACACAGUUGCCCAGUGCCUAUGCCACUAUCUCUAAGGAGUCCAGUGUACUCCAGCUCGCCAGUUUAAUGGCUAUUACUUUCAGUGAAGCUCAGGUGUUUGUAAAAAGCAUUGCCUGCCUAUCUGAGAAAACAUUUUAGAUUUGAUAAACAAUGGUGCCAAUAGAGGAGGCGUCAAACAAGAGUAGAGGAAAGACCAGUGGUGCUAGUUAUAAUCAAAAUGUCCAUGGUCAGUGUUUAGAGGCUCUGUAGAAAGAUAACAUCCUCAGACAAGGGUCAUUGUCCCUCAGGGAUCUCAGGACUUCUAAGCUCCUAAUCAUUUACAGAAACACUUUAAGCUACACUGUAACAUACUGUCUAUCAUGCCUGUUUCCCCUGUACAUUUGCUUGUGAACAUAAUCAAAAGUCAGAUAGCUACCAAGAUAUCUUGUGAUUGCCAUUGUUACUAUAAUAGUUUUAGAAAACUUAGGAUGGAAGCUAGGAACUAGAUUUGAAACUCAGUAGCCUGCAUGUGGUUGGAUGCACUCAGCUCCUUAUAAAAUGCUCCCAAACUUGUGUGAACAGAAAUCUCACUGAGGGCAACAAGAGUUCUCUUGACUGCUGUUCUCUAAACAAUAUUGGAAAGCAGAAUAGGAGUCUAUUCAGUAAUAAGCAAAUUAAUCUUUUUUAAUGGUUUUAAACAUUGGAAAUGCCACAUGUCUAAAAUCUUACCUAAUUUUAACAUUUGGUCAAUGAAUAGUGAUUGAGAACUUCUGAAGUGACAGCACAUCCAAAAUGAGUUUUGAAAUAUCUAUUUUUAGAACGUAAAUGAAAUCACAGGUCUUGAAAUUUCCAGACUUUCACUUUCCACUCUGCCUUUGGAACUUGAUGAUUUUAAUCCCAUUUAGUCUCCCUGAACAUUUUGCAUUUAUGCGCAAGACACAGCUCAAAAGUGUGCUCAUAUAAGAAUUCACCCCCAUCCGCUCACUGUUCCUGCUCUCAGUCCGGUUGGAGUCAGGCACUCCCUGCUAGCCCCUGGACAUCGUGUAAUGACUGGCCUCUAUAGCUGUCCUUCCCCCCCCCCCAUUAAGUUUAUUGGUACAUUUUAGGUAUAAAAUACAGUUACAUUCAUCAUUGGGGUCUUGUACCAUUACAUGAGUAUCUUGGUUCUUAUUUUUUUCCCCUUCCCCUGCCCUCCCUUCACCCCUUCCAUUCUUCCCUAUUUGCAAAGAAUUGUUUCCUUUUUUUUCCUUUUCUCAUAUGUUUUCUUUUCCCUUCUUUCCUUUCUUCUACCCAUCCCACUUCCCAUGCUCAUUUAGACCUUUUCUUCCUAUUACACAAUAUCAAUUAUACUUUUUUAAAAUUACAAUAUCAAGAUCUAGGAGACAUUACCACAGAUUUUACAGAAUUUAAAAGGAUAUAGAAAGCAUAUUACAAAAAUCUGUUUUGAAAUAAAUUUGACAACUUCUAAGAAGUACCUUGGAAGACAAAUUAAUGAAACUAACUCUGGAGAAAUAUAAAAUUUGAAUACCACCUAUUAAAGUAUAUUCCUAGCUUGAAAACCUACUUAUAUGACAACAACAGGCUCAUAUACAUUUUAACUGAUAAAUUAUAUCAAACAUUUAAAGCAGAGAAAAGAAGGAACACUUCUCCCCUCAUUCUAGGAAAUCAACAUUGUACUAAUCCUAAAACUGGAUAAAGAUAAUAGAAGAAAAAAGCAUGAACAUAGAUAGAGAUUUGUUUAACAACACAAACUAUUAGAAGUCAGAUCUGGCAGGAUAUAGAAAGUGGUUUUGUUAUAGGGAUGGCAGUGUUGGUUCAGCACUGGAAGAUCCACCCCCAAAAGUCAUCAUUUUAACAGAGGAAAGGCAAAAGCCAUAUGAUCCUGUCACUAGUUGGAGAAAAAGUAUUGGACUAAAUUCUUCAGAUGUUCAUGGUAAAAGCUAUCAGGAGACCAGAGAUAGAACAGAACCUUCUCAACAGAUCAAAGACAUGUACUUCAUACUUCCAGCAAAAACACUUUAUAUGAAUGGAGAAGAUACGAUGUUUUCUCCCUAAGGUGGGGAACAAAGGCAGAUAUGCCUACUCUUCCUCUGUCUGUUAAACUGUGAAACAUAGGCCCAAACCAAACUAGUCUGGCAAUAAAAUGACACAAUUAGGAUGGGAUUGGCAAGGUAGAAGUAAAAUCUUUAUAUGUAGAUGAAAUGAUCAUCUCCAGAGAAAAUACUAAGAAAUCUCCAGGAGCCCCUAAAACUUGUACUUGAAUUUAGCAGGAUUAGAAAACACAAGGUAUAUAUAAAAAUUCAAGUAUAUGUAUACUUGCUAUAAAUGAAGAAUUGGAUGUUGAAAUUUAAAAGUUAUGUAGGAGUACGAAGGACCUAGAAAAGUAAAAAGAAAAAGGAAAAAAAAAACAGCGUUGGAAGACAUUUAGUAUCUAAUUUUAAGACUUCCUCUAAAGCCACAGUAAUCAAGGCAGUGUUGGUGUAAGGAAAGACAUAUAGAUCAUUGGAAUAAAACAGAGAAUCUAAACAUAGAACCACACAUAUAUGAUCCAAUGAGUUUUGAAAGAUUAUUUAACAUUAACAUUUUAUAGAAUAUAAACUCAAUUCAAGAGCAGAGGAAAAGAUAAUGUUUUCAGCAAAUGGCACUAGAACACCUGGUAUCUGUAUAUAAAAAAUUAACCUCAACUCUUUAUUUCCAUACAUAAAAAUAACUUGAAAGGUUCUGUGUAGCUAAAUAUGAAAGACUAAAGCUAUAAAACUUUAAGAAGAAAUUAUAAGGGAAAAUGUUUGUGAAUUUAGGGUAGGCAAGAAUUUCCUAGGAUACAAAAAACAUGAUAUAUAAAAGAAAACAAUUGAUAAAUGAGAUUCCAUCAAAGUUUAGAACUUUAAAUGACAUCAUUAAAAUGAAAAAUAGUCCUUAAACAGAUCAUAUUUACAAUGCAUAUAACCUAUGACCAGGAUAUAUAAAGAACUCUUACAGCUCAUUAAUAGACAACCCAAUUAAAAAGUAGACACAAGAUGAUAUAUAGCCAGUAUAGCAUAAGGAAAGGUGUGCAACACUAGAAUCAGAAAAAUACUAAUCAGUACAAUAACAAGAUUGAAUUAUACACUCCUUGGGGAGAUGAAGUUAAAAGUUUUAAAAGCCUUGUCAUGACUUUUUCUUUUCAUUGGAUUCUCCCCCGCUGUGUUUAAUUUGUCACGCCCAAUGGAUUCAUUCU